rnacentral:rRNA from 1 species
UGGAUUAGGCAUGCAAGUCGCGCGAUCCCGUAAGGGAUAGCGGCAAAAGGGUUAGUAACACGUGAGUAAUUUGCCCUUAAGACUGGGAUAGCUUCGUGAAAACGGAGGUAAUACCAGAUGGCAUCAUGAGAGCGCAUGCUCUUAUGAUUAAAGGUGGGGACCGAAAGGCCCGCCACUUAAGGAUGAGCUCGCGUCCUAUCAGCUUGUUGGUGGGGUAACGGCCUACCAAGGCAUUUGACGGGUAGCUGGUCUGAGAGGACGACCAGCAACACUGGGACUGAGACACUGCCCAGACUCCUACGGGAGGCUGCAGUCGAGAAUCUUUAGCAAUGGGCGAAAGCCUGACUAUGCGACGCCGCGUGAGGGAUGAAGGUCUUCGGAUUGUAAACCUCUUUUGUUAGGAAAGAAACUCCUGAUGUAAAUAGCAUUAGGACUGACGGUACCUGACGAAUAAGCCACGGCUAACUCCGUGCCAGCAACCGCGGUAAUACGGAGGUGGCAAGCGUUACUCGGAAUCAUUGGGUGUAAAGGGCAAGUAGGUGGUUUUUUAAGUGAGGGGUGAAAUUUCUCGACUCAAUCGAGAAACUGCCUUUCAAACUGGAAGACUUGAGGUAGAAAAAGGGAAAUGGAAUUCUCGGUGUAAGGGUGAAAUCUGUAGAUAUCGAGAAGAACACCUGCUGCGAAGGCGAUUUCCUAGAUCUAUCCUGACACUAAACUGCGAAAGCUAGGGGAGCAAACAGAAUUAGAUACUCUGGUAGUCCUAGCCGUAAACGAUGAGCACUAGGUGUUGGCCCCUUAAGGGGUCAGUGCCGUAGCUAACGCAUUAAGUGCUCCACCUGGGAACUACGGCCGCAAGGCUAAAACUCAAAGGAAUUGACGGGGGCUCACACAAGCGGUGGAA